UCAUGUCAGCCAGCCUUGUGGGACUUUGAACAGCUGUAGCCACUUCUUGUUCUUCAAUAAGCCAGGUCCGAGCCAGCUCCAGUCAGCCAGAAUUCUGUUAUCGUGGUUCCGAAUUAAUAGAUGUCAUUCAAUGUCCUCCAUCAAGAGUGUCGCCAGACACACGGCGCAACCGACCAUCUGAUGUAUUUAUCUUAGUGUGAAUGUUAGAUAUAAAACACUUGAAUAUAGAAAAAAGUGUUUGAAUGAAAUUUUUAUUUAAAGAAAUGAAAAUAGCAGGUCUGUGCUCUAUUUCUGUCAGUGAGCAUUUCUAAUGUUCUAAGAUAUGAACACAACACUGUCAGAAACCCACCCAGCUUAUUUACCAUUACAACAUGACAGCAACACGAAUAACUGAAACCUCCCGUUCAUUCAUCAUUUAGCUCGUCACUUCAGCACAACUGACACAACUGUUUAACCAAAUGAUGGACGCUAGCUGUCAUAAAUCAGAUAACCCUUCAAAACACAGCUGCAUAUUCGUUCUGUAGGUUUACUCUUAUUUCAGAUAACCUUUUUCUUACCUGUGGUUAAUGAUGACAGAGCUCUGAGAUCUGAUUUCUUCUCCAGAAGUGGCAACUCAGACUUGAAAUAGCGCCGGAAAACCAUAGUGGACAAAAGUAUAUUACAUCUGUAGUGAUUUAGCACUACGAUACAAAACGAAUGCGAAACAGUUUAGAUCUGUUUGUCUAAGGUUGUGGGUUCAAGUACAGCAUGGGACAUGUUUCUCAUUUUCCACUUUCAGCAUGUUUGUCAAAAAGGUGCCGUGGUAUACACAUAGCUAAACAUAACUUUAUAGAAAAUCACAAAGCGUUGUCCUUUUAUACUUCAGAACAGGGUCUCAAACUCAUGGCCCGGGGGCCACUUGCGGCCCACGUCACCCCCCCUUGCAGCCUGUAUAUUGACGUGAAGAAAUAUAUUGCAAUUUGGCCCUUUAAGUUUGUUGUUGAAUGCAAUGUUAAAAUAAGUUAUUUAAAAAAUAUUUAAUAUGAAGGAAUAUAAGCAGAGAGUACAUUUAUCUGACCUGCUGAAACCUCAUUCAUCUUCUCGGGCUUUAAGGUCAUUAGAUCAGAGACUGCUGGUGGUACCGCGCACUCGUUUUAAAACUCGUGGUGAUCGGGCCUUUCAGACUGUGGCACCACGGUUGUGGAAUUCUCUCCCACUGUCUCUUCGCUGCACGGACUCCAUUGAUUCUUUUAAGAAACAGCUGAAGACAUUUUUAUUUAGAAAAGCAUUUGAUUAAUUUCUUCUUAUGCUGUUUUUAUAGUUUUAUUGUUUUACAUUGUUUUAUUUACUGUUAUAUUGUUUUUAUAUUUCCAUUUCCUGUGUUGUAAAGCACUUUGUGAUUUUUAUCUGUGAAAAGCGCUAUAUAAAUAAAUUUUACUUACUUACUUACAAACAUUUUGAGGAAUUGUGUUAGUUCAGUGAGGGAGUUAUUUGUAAAUAAAACUAUUUUCACUAGCAGUCAGAACUAUUACUUUAACUACUUUGGUUUGCAGAAUCUGUUUAAGCAUGUGGCCAUUUACCAUUGAAUGAAACCAUAAACAAUAAAAAAAAAAAAAGGUCAGGAAUAAUAGAAAGCACGAUCCUUCAGAAAAUAAAAAGAAGCACAUUGUGCGCUGUCUAUCUUGCGUGCUGCACAAUAUCAUUUAUUACUUAGUAUCUACUGAUAUCUACUGCUAGCUAGUUUAUUGUGAUGGUGCCGUUUUUUUUUAUUAUGUUGCUCUUUGUUGUUUGCUUUCUCUUCUGUUUUUUUUCUCCAUACAGGUGACCCAGGUGUUUUGUUUUUUUUCUUCCCCCCCUUCUCACCGUCUCUUCUCCCCUUUGGUUUUCUUUCUCUCCCUCUCUUUCUUUCAUUCUUUCUCCCUGUCCUGUCGCCCAGUCAUCUCUGUCCCGUUUGUAGGAACUGAAAAUAAAAUAAAUUCAUAAUUAUAAUAAAGGUCAAUCAAAUGGACCAAUAUGGCAAGGCCAUGAUGAUCCACUUGGUAAAAUAAAUCCGCUUGGCAUCUUUCUUGGCCUUAAGACAACAAUUCUGAUGGCUAAAGAUCCAAACGGGACACAAAAAAAAAAGAAAAAAGAAAAAAAAAAGAAGGCAGAAAAGCGGGGCCUGAAGUGGUCAGUCCUUUAAUUAUGCUGAUCUUAUUGACACAUCUUUUUGAAGUGGUAAAGGAAUCUUGCACUCAACAUGCAAAUCCUUUGAAAGACAAACUCAGCUAUUUUCUUGAUGUGUUGCUGUAUGAUUAAGCUAUAUGUUGAGUCCAGUUUUCUUUUCUAUCCAUUUAAGAGUUGCACACAACAAGGAAACCAAGAAAGAAGUGAUGAACGAAUUCCAGGAACUGAGUGAGCAGUUCAGUGAUAAAGGUUUCAAAGUGUUCACAGUGAGUGCUGUUGAGUUCCUGAAAAGAAAACGUGUAAAAGAAGAUGACAAUGGUAGGUUGUAAGCAUGUCAGAAUAUUUUGUGAUUAAAAGAAAACAAUCUUAUUCAAUGCAUAUCUUGUUUUAUUUUCCCUCUAUGUAAACCAGGAAGAAGUUAUUAGAUUAAAUUACUUUUAUUUACAGAAAUACCCAAACUUCAAGACUUCCUGCAAAAUCUCAACGACUGCCACUCUGAGACAAUAAACUAUGUGAAUGGAGCUUAUGGGAUUCUGUCUUUGAUUGAAGGUGCCAGGUGCAGCAAAGCGGUGAGAUCAAGUUAUCUGUGUGGAAC
ensembl:lncRNA